rnacentral:lncRNA from 1 species
AUGAAGGACUGAAGCUAACGAAGGAAAGAGAGGCCGCUUGAGGAAGUGUUGCAAGUCAAGGAGGAGAAAUUAGAGCCGAGCAGAGCACUGUUGACCCUGAAGAGGUAAAUAUGAGAGAGGAAAGGAGAGCAUGGGAAUGAGGAACUCUAGAGGAUGAAGGUGGAGGCUAGGGCCAAAGGAAAUGAAGAAGAAUGAGGAGGGAAAUGGGAAUAUUUUGAGGAGAAAGAAAAGAUCUGAUAAUGUGUUGCUACGUCGUCGAGGAAAGGUGGAGAUUGUUUUCUUGGAGAAGAGCUGUGACUGAAGGGCUUGUUGGGAAAUGUUUGAGAAAUGGAGUUGGGAGGGGCUAGAUGAUUUAGUUUCAUGUGUGAUUGGUUCAUAAGAGAAGACUGCAUAGUGAGAAAAAUGGAGAAUUACAGCAGGAUAAAGGGUAGGUAAUGAAGGCUGUGAAGGAAGAUGCAAGCUGGAGCGAGCAAAGAAAACUUCUGAGAGAGGAUCCUGAAGAGGAAUGAGGGUCUUCAAAGUGACACAAGCAAGGGAAAAGAAGUGAAGAAAAAAAAUCUCUGCCUUCCCAAGAUCAUCUACUCCUAGCCUCCUCUGCUGAUUCUCAGGGGUGGAGAAAUUUUUACCUCUCUUAUAGGAGGACUACACAGGCAUGAGAUGCAUUCCACUGAGGCCACAGAAAGAAAAAGUGAAGAUCAAGACACCAGGACAAAUGGCAGCCACCUUCACCAGGGCACGAACCUUUUUCACACCUCCUGGAACAUCACAGCGAAGGCCCAAGCCUGGCAGCCAACCCCCUCCUUGGUGUCCCUCUAGCAGGGGGGACGCGAUGGAAGAACACUGAACUGGACCUCGGGGUAUCCUAGCUAUCCUAGGUGAUUGACCUGGAAGUGAUGUGACCUUUGUGCCCUGUCCCUGGGGAUCACCGUCUUCCUUCUGCGGCCCUGGAAGGGUGCUAGGAAGAGAAGCGGAAACUGGACCCCUAGCGACUACACUGGCCUGGCGGAGGGCCACGUCAGGAUGCGGGAGCACUGGGCCCAUGAAGCAAGCUCAGGGGAGGCCCUGCGACUGUGGCCCAGGGGUCAGCAGGCAGCAAGUGCCAAGAUCACGGGCAGACCGCUCCAUCUAUGCAGGUCAGACUCUCGGCUUGGCUUGAGGCUCACUGUACCCGUAAGAGGGGGAAGCUUUGACUAGAAUUAGAAUGCAACAACAGUUUUGAUUAAUUUCCCUGCAGGUAGAAAAAGAGGC